UACGGGGGGGGGCAAGCGUUGUUCGGAAUUACUGGGCGUAAAGGGCUCGUAGGUGGCCAACUAAGUCAGACGUGAAAUCCCCCCGGCUUAACCUGGGAACUGCGUCUGAUACUGGAAGGCUUGAGGAUGGGAGAGGGAUGUAGAAUUCCAGGUGUAGCGGUGAAAUGCGUAGAUAUCUGGAGGAAUACCGGUGGCGAAGGCGGCCCUCUGGUCCAGUACUGACACUCAAGUGCGAAAGCGUGGGGAGCAAACAGG
rnacentral:rRNA from 1 species